UGGGGAAUUUUGGACAAUGGGCGAAAGCCUGAUCCAGCAAUGCCGCGUGUGUGAAGAAGGCCUUCGGGUUGUAAGCACUUUUGUCCGGAAAGAAAUCCUUGGCUCUAAUACAGUCGGGGGGAUGACGGUACCGGAAGAAUAAGCACCGGCUAACUACGUGCCAGCAGCCGCGGUAAUACGUAGGGUGCAAGCGUUAAUCGGAAUUACUGGGCGUAAAGCGUGCGCAGGCGGUUUGCUAAGACCGAUGUGAAAUCCCCGGGCUCAACCUGGGAACUGCAUUGGUGACUGGCAGGCUAGAGUAUGGCAGAGGGGGGUAGAAUUCCACGUGUAGCAGUGAAAUGCGUAGAGAUGUGGAGGAAUACCGAUGGCGAAGGCAGCCCCCUGGGCCAAUACUGACGCUCAUGCACGAAAGCGUGGGGAGCAAACAGGAUUAGAUACCCUGGUAGUCCACGCCCUAAACGAUGUCAACUAGGUUGUUGGGGGAUUCAUUUCCUUAGUAACGUAGCUAACGCGUGAAGUUGACCNCCUGGGGAGUACGGUCGCAAGAUUAAAACUUAAAUGAAUU
rnacentral:rRNA from 1 species